rnacentral:lncRNA from 1 species
AGUCUGCAGUGUGGACUCCACCAGAGGCCAAUGGGAGGUGGGUUCAGAGCUGGCUGAGAUGCAGACUGAGCUCGAGAAGGUCUGCAAUGUGCUGGAAGCUUGAGACUCAGAGCUGAGAGCUGAGCAGUGGGCCCUGGAGGCUGCCCAGGACCAGGUGCUCAGCAGCUGCCCCCCUGCACUGUGCUUCCGACUGGCCUGCAUGGCUCCCACAGGCUCCCCCAUGCCCGAUCCCUGCUGCCUGCCGCAUGGUGCCCAUGCAGGCCUUGACCUUUCCUUCCCCACACUCCGUCACUCAAGUUCCUCCCAAGCCCUUGCUGCCCACUGGGAGGGCUCAGCCUGGAACGUGUUCACUGCUUCCCCCCGCCCACCUCUAAGCUGGUGGAGAGCCUCCCUGAGAAACUGAGGCUGCAGCAG